GGGCCAGUAGCUCAGUGGUAGAGCACUGCAUUCGCAUUGCAGGGGUCAGGAGUCCGACUCUCCUCUGGUCCA
rnacentral:tRNA from 1 species